rnacentral:rRNA from 1 species
UACGGGGGGGGCAAGCGUUGUUCGGAAUUACUGGGCGUAAAGGGCGCGUAGGCGGUCAGAUAAGUCAGCUGUGAAAACCUCGGGCUUAACCCGAGGCCUGCAGUUGAAACUGUUUGGCUGGAGUGUGGGAGAGGAGAGUGGAAUUCCCGGUGUAGCGGUGAAAUGCGUAGAUAUGACGCAGAACACCAAUUGCGAAGGCAGCUUGCUGCACUGUUAUUGACACUGAGGCACGAAAGCGUGGGGAGCAAACAGG